CAAAUGUGCAUCAUGAAAAAAGUCUGACACAGUUCUUAAGCAAAAAAUAAAAUGUAUAAACAUAUUUGUCAAUUUGUUUUAUUUUUCCAUGUAUGUUUUUUUUGUGUGCAUUUCUAGAGAGAACACUAGCCAAAGAACAACACAAGUUUAUUUUUGCUGUAAUCGUGAACAAAGCAUAACUAAUAUGGUACCAUGGUGUUUCAUUGUAUGUUAGUUAUACGUUGUGACACUGUGUUGUGAAACGCUUUCAUAAAAGGAAGGCAAACUGUUCUUCUGGGAUUUCAAACCAUGCACUGCUGAACAUCUAGUCAAAUGGCUACCCAGACUAUUCACAUCCCCCCCCCCUCCACACCACUGCCACUCUCUGUUGUCAUCUAUGCAUAAUCACUUUAAUAACUCUACCUACAUGUACAUACUACCUCAACUAACCGGUGCCCCUGCACAUUGACUCUGUACCGGCAUCCCCCUGUAUAUAUUGUUAUUUUUUUACUGUUCCUCUUUAAUUACUUGUUACUUUUAUCUCUUAUUCUUAUCUGUAUUUUUUUAAACAGGCACUGUCGGUUAGGGGCUCGUAAGUAAGCAUUUCACUGUAAGGUCUACUACACCUGUUGUAUUCGGCGCAUGUGACUAAUACAAUUUGAUUUGAUUUGCUGCUUAGUGUGUGAGUUAAAAUAUCAAAUGAUAAAUCAUAAAUAACACUAUUCAAUGGAGUAAGUCAAGGGGUAUGAAUACUUUCUGAAGGCACAGCUGGAGUCCUUAUCAAAUGGACUUAAGAUGUUAAGGUAACAGUUGCUGCUAGAAAAAACAAGCUUGCAGGUCUUGUGCAGUGAAAUACCUUGGUUCUCACUUUGAUUUCCUUCAAUCAGUGCAAUCAAAUCAACUAUCAAUUAAUGCCAGUUCAGAAUGCUUUGACUUUCAAAUGUCCUUUCUUUGGUUUUUAAUUAAGUUACUUUUGUUCUUCGGGGGGAAUAAACAAAUGCUAUUCAAACAUCAAUUUGUAAAACUUACAAAAAAUGGCCCUCAAUGUCUUGAAAUGGAGUAGGUACACUGGUGGUUAGUGCCAGCAGGGUGUGCACCAAAGCACAACUUUUUGGUUUUUGAAAACAGCAUAAAUAUUUGACGGUCUGUGCUAUCUCGCAUCCUUGGGAAUCCCAUUGAAGUUGACAUUUUAAAUGGUGUAGGUAAGAAUUAUGGUUAUAGUUAGGGUUUAGGGUAGGGACAUCCCAAGGAUCCCGGAGAGCACUGAAUUGUCAUGACAUUCUGUGACAUAGUACAUUCAUGUUUGGAUGAAAUUAUCAUUUCAUUUACUUUCCACUGUGAGGCUCAAUGUGAAUCAAUGCUCAAAUUCAAAGCCUGUAAAAUGUAAAUAGUUUUACACUCUCAGUAACACUUGUUACUUCUACUUUACUCCUUUAUAAAAACCAUGCUGAAAUUGUUCCUAUUCUUCCCCAGAUGACCAGGAGUCUCCAUCUUCAGAACCUUCAGAAGUAACAUUCACACCCUCUACCACAUCUUUACAAACCAGCUGCUUCACCUGUGAGGGCAUCUGUUUGUCCUCUUCUUCAAGGGUGGAAGCUUUAGGUGUGUCGCUGUCCAUCUUUGUGUUCCAAUUAGUUGCCUGUGGAUUCUCCAAAUCCACCCAGGAUAGGUUGUUAGCCAAGGCUAGGUUCUGAUUGGGUAGCUCGGUCACAUGGUCAUAUGGCUCAUCCGGUUGAUAGGGGGCUCCUGUCUCCAGAUUGGAACCCCAGAAGUUGUUGUGUACACCAGAGCUGAGGAAGCUGUGGAGGUCCCGGGCUUCGCUGUCAGUUUUGGAUGAUCUCUCAGAGUAUCUCUUGUGACCUGCAAAAGGAUCUCCAGAUUCCAGGUGUUUGUUUGGACUUUCUAAGACUUCCCAUUCAUCUGUCUGAAGACAUUCAUUACUUGCCUGAUAGCUAGUGACCUCUUCUGCAGAAUGUUCAAUAAGAGUAUUGCAAUCCUCAUAGUGAGAGACUGCCACAUCUAACAAGUCUUCCUGAUCUGCAGUUAGAUUUGCUUUGGUGACAGGUUGCAAAUACUGGCUUGCAUUUGGCGACUCAUCAUCUGUGCUGUUGGACUCUUCUAUAUCCAAGUUGUUCUUGUCGGUUUGACUCUCAGGCCUGCUGUUUAAACUGCUGUAGAUAGAAUGGCUUUCAGUGAAGUCUGCAUGAGUCGACAUAUAAAGGUUCUGGUCAUCCUGUCCUUCUAUUUUGUCUGGUACAGCUUCAGUUCCCAGUCCCCCACUGAAUACCUUACCUUGAGCCAAAUAUUCUUCUUGGGAUAUUUCUACUGAACCUUCUCUAAGAGAUGUGUGAUCAGAUGUCAUUAGAAUCCUAGAGUGCACCGAAUACAUAACCUCUGAGGAAAUACACUCUUGCUCAGACUGAUUCAGUUUCUCUGCACCUGGAGGUAUACACUCUUGCUCAGACUGAUUCAGUUUCUCUGCACCUGAAGGUAUACACUCUUGCUCAGACUGAUUCAGUUUCUCUGCACCUGAAGGUAUACACUCUUGCUCAGACUGAUUCAGUUUCUCUGCACCUGAAGGUAUAUACUCGGGAUCGGAUUGAUUCAUUUUCUCUCUGUCUGAGGGUAUGUGUUCUUGCUCACAUAUAUCCAGUUUCUCUCCGCCUGAAAUUAUGUACUCUGGCUCGAAUUGAUUCAGUUUCUGUCCACCUAAAGGUAUAUUCUCUUGUUCAGAUUGAUUCAGUUUCUCUCCGCCUGAAAUUAUAUACUCUGGCUCGAAUUGAUUCAGUUUCUGUCCACCUAAAGGUAUAUUUUCUUGCUCGGAUUGAUUCAUUUUCUCUCUGUCUGAGGGUAUAUGUUCUUGCUCACAUAUAUCCAGUGUCUCGCCGCCUGAAGUUAUAUCCUCUUGUUCAGAUUGAUUCAGUUUCUCUCCGCCUGAAAUUAUAUACUCUGGCUCAGAUUGAUUCAGUUUCUCUCCUCCUGAAGGUAUCUUCUCUUGUUCAGAUUGAUUCAUUUUCUCUCCAUCUGAGGGUAUGUUUUCUUGCACAUAUAGAUUCAGUUUCUCUCUGCCUGAGGGUAUAUACUCUUGUUCAGAUUGAUUCAGAUUCUCUCCAUCUGUGGGUAUGUGUUCUUGUGCAUUUAGAUUCAGUUUCUCUCCUCCUGAAGGUAUAUACUCUUGUUCAGAUUGAUUCAGUCUCUCUGAGUGUAUAUACUCUUGCUCAGGUUGAUUCAGUCUCUCUGAGUGUAUAUACUUUUGCUCAGUUUGAUUCAGUCUCUCUGAGUGUAUCUGCUCUACCUCCUCACUGUAUAAUAUGUCUUGUGUCUGGGAAAGUUCAGUGUGAGACUCAAUUUGAAGACUCAGUACUGACUCGCUCUCAAUCAUCUGCCCAGUAAAGUGUUCACUGUAACUGGAUAUAGAUAAAUUCUCUAGCUCUUGCUCCACCAAUCUAUCAAUUCUUUCUUCAUUAUAGUCCUCAUCAGAGCACACCAUGGAGUACUCUCCAGGUUCUGUAAGUUCCUCAUAGGAUUGCUCCUCUUCUGCCUCCUGAAUCAACUGAUCUACAGCAUUCUCCUCAUCGUUCUCCUGUGUAGCAUGCUCCUUUGUUUGGCUAGCAUCCACGUCGCCUUGGUGAGUGGAGCCCAUGUGACGUUCCUGAUCUAUGACAUCUCCUUCUGACUCUUCAUACAGAUCCUCCAUGGUGUCAAACUGUUUGGACUUGCCUUCGCCCCAGGUGUCUGUUCCUGUCUGGCAAACCUCCCUGUCCUCUUCACCAUCACUGGAGUCGCUCUCGCCCAUGUGUGAAGCCAGAGUGUUGACAUCCGUCUCGUCACUCUUGUAACGGAUCAAGGGGUGUGUGUCGGCUAGUGUGUUGUCCUGAGCAUAGCUGUCGCCUUCUAGCUCAGCCCUCCAUGAAACAGAAUUAUUUUGACAGUAGUUUGCCUCAUCAUGAUCCUCUUUGUCAUUGUCGGAUAUAUUCAGUUUAUCUCCGCCUGAAGUUAUGUACUCUGGCUCGGAUUGAUUCAGUUUCUCUCCACCUGAAGGUAUAUACUCUGACUCGGAUUGAUUCAUUUUCUCUCCGUCUGUUGUUAUGUGUUCUUGUGCAUUUACGUUCUGUUUCUCUCCGCCUGAAGUUAUGUACUCUGGCUCGGAUUGAUUCAGUUUCUCUCCGCCUGAAGGUAUAUGUUCUUGCUCAGAUUGAUUCAGUUUCUCUCCGUUUGAAUUGAUAUACCUUUGCUCAGACUGAUUCAGUUUCUCUCUGCCUGAAGGUAUUUGCUCUUGCUCGAAUAGAUUUUGUUUCUCUUCAUUUGAAGGUAUAUACUCUUGAUCAGACCGAUUGGGUUGGGCUUCUCUGUUAUUCCACAUCUCUUCCUCUUUCACAUGAUACUUUGCUUCUUUCCAAUCAUCCAUUCUUUCUCCAAUUCCAUUCUCUUCAUUGUACCCUGCCACUCGAUCCCAUUCAUCCUUUACAUCCCCAUUGGGGUUCAGUGCAUGUUGUUCCUCACGUUUGUUAGACAUAUCAUUUUCAUCAUCCACUUUUGUGAAAUUUAUGUCACCUUCCUCCACUCUUUCAACAUGGUGAAAUACCUCUUCUGACCAGUGAGAAGCUUGAGCAGAUUCAUAUGAGAUAAUCUCCUCUUGGUUGAACUUAUCGAUUCUUUCUGUCAUGUCAUUUUCCUUAAUGAAUCCUCCCAAUCUUUCACAAUCAUCGUUACCAUACCCAUAGGGGUGCAAUUCAUCUUCCAAUUGCUCCUCAUGUUUGUUAGACAUAUCAUUUUCAUCCUCUUUUGGGAGAUGAAUAACAUCUUCCUCCAGUCUUUUAACAUGGCGAAAUGCCUCUUCUGAACCGUGGGAGGCUUGAGUGGAUUCAUAUGACAUAUUGUCCUCUUGGUUGAACUCUAUUGGCUUGUUGUAACUUUUCCCCGCCCCAUACUCAAAAGCUUGACUGCUUGUGAAGGUUUCAAAUGCUUGCUCUAGCACUGAUGCAGUUUCAGAUUCCAAGCCUUCGUUUCUCGCCCAUUCAGCAUCUUUCUUUGCUGUUUCAAGCUCUCUUUCCUCCGAUGCAUUCAUGGGACCGUAAGGCAUAUCUAGUAGAGGUUCCUCUUUUUCAAAAUACAUUUCAAAAGGUACAUCAUUAUCAUCAUUCGCUGAGAAAGCAGAAUGUGCCCCUGUCACCGAACCUGCUCUCUCAUAGCUCACUGAAGGGCUGUAGAGCUCUUGAGCAUCAGUGCUGAACACAGUUGGCAUACUGAAGCUGGUCUCGACCCGGUGACUCAUGGCAGAUUCCAGAACGGGUUUCUCUUCAGCAAACCAGGUUCUGACUAUGUUCUGAUCCUCUUCCUCCUUUUCCAUAUCCCACAUGGAUUGUUCCUUGUGGUCAGAUCCAAGCAAAGAUACAACAUCAGCUCCUGCCUCUUCAGUGGGAGGUGAGAGAGGCUCAGCAUAGUUGACUUCUAUAUGGACAUCUUGGGGUCUGAAGUGGUGGACUGAAAUUCCGUCCUGUGGUACUUUGAGGUAAGGCGUUGAACAACUUACCUGGUGGUUGGACCCUACGCCAAAGUCGAUAUGCUCUUCUGUCUUUCGACAACUCUCAGGUGUUUCAUUCAGGGUUACCCGAUUUUGAGUCCAGAUUGGUGAUGCGGACAUCAUUGUCACAUUGGAUCGUGGACUUGCUCUAUGGAUGGUAGAGAUGGGCCUGAUCAUGUGACUGGUAGCCAGCUGUGUCUGGAAGCUUUGCUUAACCCCUCG
ensembl:lncRNA